CGCCGCGGUUAGACGAGUCUUUGGCUCUAGUUGACAGAUAACGGCGUAAAGGGUGGUUAGGGAAUAAUCAUACUAAAGUCGAAGGCUCUCAGUGCUGUCAUACGCUUAUGAGAGAGCGAAGCCCCACCACAAAAGUGACUUUACUCCCCCCGAACCCACGAAAGCUAUGGUA
rnacentral:rRNA from 1 species